AUUAUUCUUGAAUGGUUUAUUUUUUCAAUUUUUCAUUCAUUGAUUAAUUGAUUGUUGAUUAGCUCUUACUGCUGUUUGUGAUUAUUAAUUGUAAAUAUGCUGCUGUGCUGCUGUUCUUUGUGCUUUUGUGACUUAAUUGUGAUUAUAUUGUGAUGUUUGUGAUUAUUUCAUCCUAUAUUAUUGUUAGUUAAUUGGUUUUAAUUUUGUUCCUGGGGUUUGAGUUUCUUCUCUAAACUCCCCGGUUGCCUUUGCUCCCUCUGUCUUGGUCCAGAGAUUCCGUCUCCACAGAACACUAGGUUGAGUUGAAUUGAAGUGAAUCAUGGAUAAGAGCAUGUUAACUGGUUUGGAAUCACUUCC